AAGAGAUGGGCUGGGGGGAGCUGACCACUGGUGUAUUCCAGCUGUGAUCCACUCAACAAAAUUAGACUUCAGUUCUAGUCGCUUCUCAGACAAACUAACUGAAAUCGGAUUCCUUCACAAAGUGGUGCACCGUUUUAAAAACUGGGAAAGCAGCUUACUCUCAUUUCCCUGAUUGUUGAACCAGAGUUUUACAGGGAGGCCUUCAGUAAAAACAAGCAUGUGGGACGUGUUACUGGAGUGGAGGGGCAAGCAAUUUAUCUUGAAGAACAGCAGUGGACAAGAAGAAGAUUAAGUUGAGGCCAGAUUUCAUUUUUGGGCCAGUGCAAGCACACAAGUGGUUCCACAGGCAACAGAAAAUAACUGCUCGGUUAUUUUCUGUUGCCUGGGAAUGUCAAAUACUUCUUUCUGCAGCUCAACUGUUUAGUUCGCUGAUUAAUUUGACGCUGCUAUAGAUGGUUUUUUGGAAAAAGCAAUAGUUUUGUAAGGUUAAAAUCAUAUCUGUCACGCUUCAAAACUCCCGAGAUGUUGCCUGUGACAAGCUGCUGUAAACGUCUGCCCAUAGGGAGGACUAGCAGAAGUGGCGUCUGAAGUCAGCGCUGGAGGAUCACCACCCCGCUGCUGCCUGCUGUGCUACAGAAGCAGAAUGUGGCUGAAGAGUCAGGGGGGCUGAUGAUCACAUCAACCCUAUCAGGAGAGUGCAUGUGCAGAAGGCAG